rnacentral:rRNA from 1 species
UACGUAGGCAGCGAGCGUUGUUCGGAGUUACUGGGCGUAAAGGGUGCGUAGGCGGGUCUUUUAAGUCAGGGGUGAAAUCCUGGAGCUCAACUCCAGAACUGCCUUUGAUACUGAGGAUCUUGAGUUCGGGAGAGGUGAGUGGAACUGCGAAGUGUAGAGGUGAAAUUCGUAGAUAUUGGGAAGAACACCGGUGGCGAAGGCGGCGACCUGGUCCAUUACUGACGGCUGAGGCGCGACAGCGUGGGGGAGCAAACAGG